AAAUUGAAGAGUUUGAUCAUGGCUCAGAUUGAACGCUGGCGGCAGGCCUAACACAUGCAAGUCGAACGGUAACAGGAAACAGCUUGCUGAUUCGCUGACGAGUGGCGGACGGGUGAGUAAUGUCUGGGAAACUGCCUGAUGGAGGGGGAUAACUACUGGAAACGGUAGCUAAUACCGCAUAACGUCGCAAGACCAAAGAGGGGGACCUUCGGGCCUCUUG
rnacentral:rRNA from 1 species